CACCAAGGCGACGAUCCCUAGCUGGUCUGAGAGGAUGAUCAGCCACACUGGAACUGAGACACGGUCCAGACUCCUACGGGAGGCAGCAGUGGGGAAUAUUGCACAAUGGGCGCAAGCCUGAUGCAGCCAUGCCGCGUGUAUGAAGAAGGCCUUCGGGUUGUAAAGUACUUUCAGCAGUGAGGAAGGUGGUAGUGUUAAUAGCACUAUCAUUUGACGUUAGCUGCAGAAGAAGCACCGGCUAACUCCGUGCCAGCAGCCGCGGUAAUACGGAGGGUGCGAGCGUUAAUCGGAAUUACUGGGCGUAAAGCGCAUGCAGGUGGUUUGUUAAGUCAGAUGUGAAAGCCCGGGGCUCAACCUCGGAAUUGCAUUUGAAACUGGCAGACUAGAGUACUGUAGAGGGGGGUAGAAUUUCAGGUGU
rnacentral:rRNA from 1 species